rnacentral:lncRNA from 10 species
ACAUCUUGGGCACAUUUUCACUUUCCCUGCACCACCUCGUUCUUUCUCUCAGGACAAUAAAUGGUUAUUGAUGAUUCUCAAAGGAAAAUUUUUAUCUUGCAGCCACUGGGAUACCAAACUAAGCAAAUCUUGGCUGAGUCUUUCAGCUUUCAGACUCAGAGAAAAUGCUGCAGUGAGGGCCCUGAGAUUUUGCUUCCAGAGUGCCUGCCAAGGAGCAGGCUAACGCAAACUGACAGAAAAAACCCCUGAAAAUUGCUACCCAGGAUUUCAGCAAAGAAGAUGUAGAGGAGAGAUGGGCCUAUUUCAUGGGAUCCACUGUACCAUGUAACUCCAGAAGUUGCCAGCUGACAGUGAUAAACUGGCCUCUUAAAGGUGCAUGUUAGAUGCCAGCAGCUCAGUGAUACCCCAUGAUGAGUGGUCACAACUCUUUAGGAUGUGGACAGCUCUUAAACCAAUGCAGCAGAGAAUGUGGUCCUCAUUCCCCACAGCUGAUGCCAUCAGACUGUGUGGCCACAGGUGCUCCAGUCAUUGCCUCAACCCCACAGAAGUUCCUCAGGGGGACGGACAGGAAAACAUCAGAGCACUAUCUAAAAUCUUUCACAGUAAGUGUGGCCUAGCAUUUUCUGCCAGUUUCUGCAUAAUCCUCUUUCUUAAUGGUCCAAAAAUCACAGCUAGAAUAAGCGUUGUGACCCACGUCAAAGAAUAGAGAACAGUACAUUUCUCAAAUAACCCCAUCAUUACAAAAGUAUUUUUUUCAAUCUCCUUUUGGGGAAAUUAUUUCUCUUUCUUGCAUUUUUCAGGCAGAAUGAAAAUGGAGCCAAUGAAAGGGAAUUAAAUUUUGGGAUCCCCAAACUCAUGUAGCCAAAGGGAAAAGUCAAGCUGGGAACUUGGUCACGCAAACCUGCCUCCCCCAUUUGGCUCCUAAGUAAGAUGGCUACAAGAUGAAAAGCUACAUGCCUCCCCUAUAUUUUGCCUACAAGGAAAUUCCUGAUGAGCUGCAAGAUCUUUUAAGGUGUUUCUGUUAAAAUUUCACCAUGGCAAUGCAAAUUGAUAGCUUAUCUUUACAGGUGCAGUUACCCACAGCCCACCAGACACAAAUGCAUAUCUGAUUAUUCCCUUACCCCAUUUUUGCCUGUGUUAUCAUAUGUAAAAUGCAGAUUCUCUGCAUUUUUCCUCUGCCCCAUUUGUCUAGGUCAUCUUAUGAAAAAAAAAAAUUGUAGAUUCACUGAGCCAGACAAAGGCAUGAAUGACUAUUUUUCCCUAACUCCCUGUUACAUGCAAAUUGUGUACUUCUCAAUAUCCCGCCAUUUACCCUUUAAAUUUUGAGCCCCCAAAAUCAUCUUCAGAGAAAGGCAAAGACCUGUCUUCUGGGUGUGUGUCUUUAAUUUUGGCAAA